CGCCUCCUGAAAAUUAUAGGAGGUCCAGCCUGCCCAGUGAUAUAUUAAACGGCCGCGGUACCCUGACCGUGCGAAGGUAGCAUAAUCACUUGUUCUCUAAAUAAGGACUAGUAUCAACGGCAUCACGAGGGUUAUACUGUCUCCCUAUUCUAAUCAGUGAAACUGACUUUCCCGUGAAGAGGCGGGAAUUUUUAUACAAGACGAGAAGACCCCAUGGAGCUUUAAACCCAAGAGCAGCCUUUAUAGAAUCCUACCUUAAAAUUUUUAGGUGUUGCCCAUUGGCUUUAGGUUGGGGUGACCACGGAGUAAAACUUAACCUCCAUGACGAAUAGACUUUUCAUCUUUAUCUUAGAGCUACUGCUCCAAGAAUCAAAAAUUUGACGCAACCUGAUCCGAUUAUCGAUCAACGAACCAAGUUACCCUGGGGAUAACAGCGCAAUCCAUUUUAAGAGCCCCUAUCGACAAAUGGGUUUACGACCUCGAUGUUGGAUCAGGGUAUCCCAGUGGUGCAGCCGCUACUAAAGGUUUGUUUGUUCAACAAUUAAAACCCU
rnacentral:rRNA from 1 species